AUGACAUAGCUAUACCGAUAAUACAGUAAAGUGAGUAAA
rnacentral:guide_RNA from 1 species